CGGGCCGGUAGGCUAACACAUGCAGUCGAACGGCAGCACAGGAGAGCUUGCUCUCUGGGUGGCGAGUGGCGGACGGGUGAGGAAUACAUCGGAAUCUACCUUUUCGUGGGGGAUAACGUAGGGAAACUUACGCUAAUACCGCAUACGACCUUCGGGUGAAAGCAGGGGACCUUCGGGCCUUGCGCGGAUAGAUGAGCCGAUGUCGGAUUAGCUAGUUGGCGGGGUAAAGGCCCACCAAGGCGACGAUCCGUAGCUGGUCUGAGAGGAUGAUCAGCCACACUGGAACUGAGACACGGUCCAGACUCCUACGGGAGGCAGCAGUGGGGAAUAUUGGACAAUGGGCGCAAGCCUGAUCCAGCCAUACCGCGUGGGUGAAGAAGGCCUUCGGGUUGUAAAGCCCUUUUGUUGGGAAAGAAAAGCAGCCGGCUAAUACCCGGUUGUUCUGACGGUACCCAAAGAAUAAGCACCGGCUAACUUCGUGCCAGCAGCCGCGGUAAUACGAAGGGUGCAAGCGUUACUCGGAAUUACUGGGCGUAAAGCGUGCGUAGGUGGUUUGUUUAAAGUCUGUUGUGAAAAGCCCUGGGGCUCAACCC
rnacentral:rRNA from 1 species